GUCCACGCCGUAAACGAUGAGAACUAGCCGUUGGGGGCCUUGAGCCCUUGGUGGCGCAGCUAACGCGAUAAGUUCUCCGCCUGGGGAGUACGGCCGCAAGGUUAAAACUCAAAUGAAUUGACGGGGGCCCGCACAAGCGGUGGAGCAUGUGGUUUAAUUCGAUGCAACGCGAAGAACCUUACCAACCCUUGACAUCCUCAGAACUUGUCAGAGAUGACUUGGUGCCUUCGGGAACUGAGUGAC
rnacentral:rRNA from 1 species